CGGAGGAAGUAGGGAAAUUGGUGUAAAGGGGUUGAGGAAAGAGGUGAAAGAAGUGGAAUUCUGAAGAGGAGAAGUGAAUAGGGGAGUCGAGAGAAGAGCAUUGAAGGGAACAGUAGCGAAUGGAGUGAUUUGAAUUGGGAUUUUUAGGGGAGAAGAAGGGAGGAUAGUGAAGGGAAGGAGGAGGAGGGAGGGGAGAAAAGCAAGAAGAGCAGUGAGAGAGAAGUGUAGAAUGGUGGAGGCAAAGUGAAAGCGGUGGGAUUGGAGGAGUGAGGUCUUGG
rnacentral:misc_RNA from 1 species